rnacentral:rRNA from 1 species
CCUACGGGUGGCAGCAGUGAGGAAUAUUGGUCAAUGGGCGCGAGCCUGAACCAGCCAAGUCGCGUGAGGGAUGAAGGUUCUAUGGAUCGUAAACCUCUUUUAUAAGGGAAUAAAGUGUGGGACGUGUCCUAUUUUGUAUGUACCUGAUGAAUAAGGAUCGGCUAACUCCGUGCCAGCAGCCGCGGUAAUACGGAGGAUCCGAGCGUUAUCCGGAUUUAUUGGGUUUAAAGGGUGCGUAGGCGGCCUUUUAAGUCAGCGGUGAAAGUCUGUGGCUCAACCAUAGAAGUGCCGUUGAAACUGGCGGGCUGGAGUAGGUGUGAGGUAGGCGGAAUGCGUGGUGUAGCGGUGAAAUGCUUAGAUAUCGCGCAGAACCCCGAUUGCGAAGGCAGCCUGCCAGGCCAUGACUGACGCUGAUGCACGAAAGCGUGGGGAUCAAACAGGAUUAGAUACCCGGGUAGUC